rnacentral:rRNA from 1 species
UACGUAGGGCGCAAGCGUUAUCCGGAAUUAUUGGGCGUAAAGAGCUCGUAGGCGGUUUGUCGCGUCUGCCGUGAAAAUCCGGGGCUCAACCCCGGACUUGCAGUGGGUACGGGCAGACUAGAGUGUGGUAGGGGAGACUGGAAUUCCUGGUGUAGCGGUGAAAUGCGCAGAUAUCAGGAAGAACACCCGUGGCUAAGGCGGCUCUCUAGUACGGUACUGACGCUGAGACGCGAAAGCGUGGGGAGCGAACAGG